rnacentral:rRNA from 1 species
UACCAGCACCCCGAGUGGUCGGGACGAUUAUUGGGCCUAAAGCAUCCGUAGCCGGUCUUGCAAGUCUUCCGUUAAAUCCAGCUGCUUAACAGAUGGGCUGCGGAAGAUACUACAAGACUAGGAGGUGGGAGAGGCAAGCGGUACUCAGUGGGUAGGGGUAAAAUCCACUGAUCCAUUGAAGACCACCAGUGGCGAAGGCGGCUUGCCAGAACGCGCUCGACGGUGAGGGAUGAAAGCUGGGGGAGCAAACCGG